GCUAGAGGGGCCCUUUGCGCCUAUGUGGUCAAGGAGCGUUUUAGGACAUUGCAAUGGGAAUUUGGCGCAAAUGAGAUGCAUAGGGAGUUUUUAGUUGAAGAAUGUUCGACCUUGAAGACCUGGGUGACCAAGGUUGAGGGUACAAUGAAGGAGACACUAGAAUCCGUGAACAAGCUUCAGGCUGACCUUAACGCAGCCCUUACCUCUAUGCUGGGCCUUGAGAAUAGGGCUAAAUCUGCUGAGG
rnacentral:lncRNA from 1 species